GACGUAGGGGCGAGCGUUGUCCGGAUUUAUUGGGCGUAAAGCGUGCGUAGGCGGUUUUGUCGCGUCGGGGAGUGAAAAUCCAGGGCUUAACUCUGGACUGGCUUCCGAUACGGGCAGACUAGAGGUAUGCAGGGGAGAACGGAAUUCCUGGUGUAGCGGUGGAAAUGCGCAGAUAUCAGGAGGAACACCGGUGGCGAAGGCGGUUCUCUGGGCAUUACCUGACGUGAGGAGCGAAAAGUGUGGGGAGCGAACAGG
rnacentral:rRNA from 1 species